GAUGAACGCUGGCGGCGUGCCUAAUACAUGCAAGUCGAGCGAACAGACGAGGAGCUUGCUCCUUGGACGUUAGCGGCGGACGGGCGAGUAACACGUGGAUAACCUACCUAUAAGACUGGGAUUACUUCGGGAAACCGGCGCUAAUACCGCAUAACAUGUCGAACCGCAUGGUUCAACAGUGAAAGACGCUCUUGCUGUCACGUAUAGAUGGAUCCGCGCCGCAUUAGCUAGUUGGUAAGGUAACGGCUUACCAAGGCAACGAUGCGUAGCCGACCUGAGAGGGUGAUCGGCCACCCUGGAACUGGGACACGGUCCAGACUCCUACGGGAGGCAGCAGUAGGGAAUCUUCCGCAAUGGGCGAAAGCCUGACGGAGCAACGCCGCGUGAGUGAAGAAGGUCUUCGGAUCGUAAAACUCUGUUAUUAGGGAAGAACAAAUGUGUAAGUAACUAUGCACGUCUUGACGGUACCUAAUCAGAAAGCCACGGCUAACUACGUG
rnacentral:rRNA from 1 species